AGUAAAUGCAGCGUGUGAUUCUGAACUGGAUCUUUUUGCACUAAGAACUUUGUUGGGACAAUCAGUGAAACUUACAUGGGGUCUCUGGAUCAGAUGGCGUUUAUUUCCUGGUGUUUAUAGUUUUAAUUAAUGUGGUUGGAAAGAGAGAAGGUGUACAAUAUAAUGAUUCAGCAAUUCUAUACAUUUCUCAGUGCUCAUCAUGCCUUCUCAACGUGGGACACUUCUGUUUCUUUGCUUCAACAGCUGGCUCAGAUCUAACAGACACAUAAUGAGUGCUGCCUACGUGUCAGGCAUCACACAAGGCUUUCUGAAACCAAAUUUUGUUCGGGUGGUGGUAUGGACUAGAAGUUUGUAUCCUUUCGAAACUCAUAUGCUGAAAG